rnacentral:rRNA from 1 species
GAUAAGGGGAUCUCGAGUGCCAGGUUACAAAUCUGGCUGUCGUGAUGCCUAAAAAGCAUUGCAUAGCAAGGGCCGGGCAAGACCGGUGCCAGCCGCCGCGGUAACACCGGCGGCUCGAGUGGUAACCGUUAUUAUUGGGUCUAAAGGGUCUGUAGCCGGCC